rnacentral:misc_RNA from 1 species
UAAUUUCACAGGUUUGAUUUUAUCUUUUCUAGAUGAUCCUUCUUGUUAUCAUAUUAUGAGUGCACUACAUUUAUGAUCAGCAUCCGAGUACUCAUUCUCUUGGUUAAUACUUUUACAUAGUCUUGAAAAUUAAUCAGUCUGAUGCAUGUGCUUUUUAUGUGCAUCAACAUAAACAGCCCAUGCAUCAGAGUUUUCUUGCCAGAUUUAUGUGCAAUCUUUCAUCAGUUUUAUCGCUAAAAACUUUUCUUGCCAGAUUUAUGUGCAUCAGCAUUGAUUCUAAAUAUAGAUUCUUGGGGUAGCGAAUAACCUCAUAUUUCUUUUCUUUUACUUGUUUUGCUAUCUUAAUUUUCUGUCAUCAGAAAAAGAUUUUGGUUUUCUCCUGUUAUUGAUUUUCAGAUGCAGUACCAACAUUUUGGUCUUAUUUUGCUGCCAGCCUGCUUAAGGACAUCCUUUCAUUUCUUCUAUUAAAUUUAUGGAAUUUCCUUUGAGAUAUUUGACCAUUUUAUGCACCAUAAAAUUCUCUUGUUUUGUUAAAAUUCAUGUAGCCGACCCCAAAAUUUUUGUGCUUAGUUGAG